rnacentral:rRNA from 1 species
CAGCAGCCGCGGGAAUACAGAGGGUGCAAGCGUUAAUCGGAUUUACUGGGCGUAAAGGGCGCGUAGGUGGUUAUGUAAGUGAGAUGUGAAAUCCCCGGGCUCAACCUGGGAACUGCAUCUUAUACUGCGUAGCUGGAGUGCAGUAGAGGGUAGUGGAAUUUCCGGUGUAGCGGUGAAAUGCGUAGAUAUCGGAAGGAACACCAGUGGCGAAGGCGGCUACCUGGACUGAUACUGACACUGAGGCGCGAAAGCGUGGGGAGCAAACAGGAUUAGAUACCCCCGUAGUCCCUGUCUCUUAUAC